CUCGAGACCUGCAAGGUAUGCUCCGUGGACGUAGCCGUUGUAGCGCUCGCUGGUGUGCUCACCGGUGAAGUAAACCCUCCCAACCGGCGCCUUCAAUUUUUGUCACCACAGAAAUAGUACAUGCAUGCAAAAAAAUUAACACAGCACGGUUAAUUACUAACCCGAUUUGAUGCGCCAGGUAAUUAACAAACUGAUGGAUGAGGUUUUAUUUACAAUACCCUGAGCUGGUCGUAUUCAUAGCGGUUGACGCCGAUGGGCCAGUUGGAGUAGGAUCCCUUGAAGAAGCGGUUGGACCACCAGCGCGGGACGUAGAUGUCGGUGGCGUUGGGGACAUCGACGUCGGGGAACAUCUUCCGCAGCACCGCCACGGCCUCCGCCUUGGUGACGUCGUCGGGCUGCUGCUCGAUCCGCCGGGACUCGUCGUCGGUGACCGUGACCAGGAGCACGGGUACGCCCGGGUACUCCCGCUCGAACGACUGCCACAUGCCGUAGUAGCCGCGGCGCCGGCUGGCGUACACGAAGAACUGCUUGCCGUCGCCCACGGGCCAGAACCGCCGGGGGAACUUGAGGAAGAUCUUGGUGUACACCGCCAUGUCGAACCGGUAGAUCGAGAAGAUCUUCCAGAACUG
rnacentral:lncRNA from 1 species